AAAGAGUUCGACAUCUACAGCAACUCGCUUUCUCUCUCUCUUUUCUCUCUUUGAUCAUAAAAAUCCUAAAACUUUCGUUGAAGUGAAUAAUAACAAGUUUCUGCGGUCAGUUUUUUUUAAUUACUGAUGUGCUGGGAAACACACAAAAAAAAAAUAUUUCUUGGAUUAUCUAUGAUCAUAGGUAAGAGUUGUCGGAGUCGAAACUUUGAUCGGAUGAUCGUCUCUACCAUCGCUCUCCAUGUCUCCGCUCACCAUAAACUUCUCUCCUGGCAAUAAUAAUCCCCUUUAUCAUCUCAAGAUUUUCAAUUUCAUGUUACAGACCCCCUAAUCACUUAGCAGGUUUGAGAUAAUUGAAAAGUUGGAUUCAAUUUUCUUUACUUUCAGGAGCCAGUGAAGCAACAUGAUGAAAACCCAGUUAUUAUACAGAUUACAUUGGAACAACUCAUCAUGGACCAAUAACUAACAACGCAACGAUAUUAGGAGAUUGGUAGUACAGAGGAAUACUGGAAGAGAGAAGAGGCAGCUCAAGUCAUCGCUCUUUUAAUGUGGGAAGGAAUUGGGCUAGGAGGUGGUGAUGAACAGCUCCUCGAAGGUGAUUAUGGCAGCUACAAUGGUCAAGGUAGUAAGCUUAGUCAAGGUUUUAAGCUUAGUCAUCUCCACCACAAGUAACGAACCUUCGCCAUUACCAUCAUCAAACAUCGAUUCUUUAUCCAAUCCUCUCUACACAAGUGUUUUUCAAACUCCAAACAAAACCCAUUUUCACCAUGAACCAUCUUUACAAGCUUCUCUUGAUCUGAUUCAAGAAACCAUGGCUUCUUCUGUUGAUAACUUUAUCUACAUAUCAAACCCAAAUUACUCAAACGAAGCUACAAGUAAACAAACCACACCUUUGAAACACCUCAGUCUUCACCGUCACGGCUUGAAGAUGAUGAAGACGACGACGAUAUAACCAAAGAAGAUCCAACACCAACAUUGUCUCCAAUGAAGGAUCUGCCUGAAAAGUCAUGCUCCGUUUCACUAAAAGCUAAGUUUGAGAGCUGCAGUUCUUCAUAUGAGAUUAGUUCUUCAUAUGAGAUUAAUCUUUUUAUGAACCUCACUUUUUGGUUAACUGUGACAGCUCUUCAUUCUUCUGAAAUGCAUAUCAUUUUGGGCUUUUUAUUUGUGUUGUAGUUGCUCCACCAACGAUUGGAAAAAGAACAUGACCAAUGUCUAUUUUUCUUCUUAAAUUAAUCAUAGUAUGAAAGAAGAUUAGGUAA